GACGUAGGGCGCGAGCGUUGUCCGGAUUUAUUGGGCGUAAAGAGCUCGUAGGCGGCUUGUUGCGUCGGCUGUGAAAACCCAUGGCUCAACCGUGGGCUUGCAGCCGAUACGGGCAGGCUAGAGUUCGGUAGGGGAGACUGGAAUUCCUGGUGUAGCGGUGAAAUGCGCAGAUAUCAGGAAGAACACCCGUGGCUAAGGCGGUUCUCUAGUACGGUACUGACGCUGAGACGCGAAAGCGUGGGGAGCGAACAGG
rnacentral:rRNA from 1 species